rnacentral:rRNA from 1 species
UUCCGGUUGAUCCUGCCGGACCUGACUGCUAUCGGAUUGAUACUAAGCCAUGCUAGUCUUUGUAGUAAUACAAGGCAUACGGCUCAGUAACGCGUAGUCAACCUACCCUAUGGACGGGGAUAAUCUCGGGAAACUGAGCAUAAUACCCGGCAGACCACUUAUCCUGGAAUGGUUAGUGGUUAAAAUGAUUCGUCGCCAUAGGAUGGGACUGCGGCCUAUCAGCUUGUUGGUGAGGUAAUGGCCCACCAAGGCGAUUACAGGUACGGGCUCUGAGAGGAGAGGCCCGGAGAUGGGUACUGAGACAAGGACCCAGGCCCUAUGGGGCGCAGCAGGCGAGAAAACUUUGCAAUGUGCGAAAGCACGACAAGGUUAAUCCGAGUGAUUCUGCUAAAGGAAUCUUUUGUUAGUUCUAAAAAUACUAGUGAAUAAGGGGUGGGCAAGUUCUGGUGUCAGCCGCCGCGGUAAAACCAGCACCUCAAGUGGUCAGGAGGAUUAUUGGGCCUAAAGCAUCCGUAGCCUGUUCUAUAAGUUUGCGGUUAAAUCUAUACGCUCAACGUAUAGGCUGCCGUAAAUACUGUAGAACUAGGGAGUGGGAGAGGUAGACGGUACUCGAUAGGAAGGGGUAAAAUCCUUUGAUCUAUUGAUGACCACCUGUGGCGAAGGCGGUCUACCAGAACACGUUCGACGGUGAGGGAUGAAAGCUGGGGGAGCAAACCGGAUUAGAUACCCGGGUAGUCCCAGCUGUAAACGAUGCAGACUCGAUGAUGCAAUGGCAUAGAGCUAUUGCAGUAUCGCAGGGAAGCCGUUAAGUCUGCCGCCUGGGAAGUACGUACGCAAGUAUGAAACUUAAAGGAAUUGGCGGGGGAGCACCACAAGGGGUGAAGCCUGCGGUUCAAUUGGAAUCAACGCCGGA